UACGUAGGGUGCGAGCGUUAAUCGGAAUUACUGGGCGUAAAGCGUGCGCAGGCGGUUGUGCAAGACCGAUGUGAAAUCCCCGGGCUUAACCUGGGAAUGGCAUUGGUGACUGCACGGCUAGAGUGUGUCAGAGGGGGGUAGAAUUCCACGUGUAGCAGUGAAAUGCGUAGAGAUGCGGAGGAACACCGAUGGCGAAGGCAGCCCCCUGGGUCGACACUGACGCUCAGGCACGAAAGCGUGGGGAGCAAACAGG
rnacentral:rRNA from 1 species